UCCUCUAGCACUCAAUUUAACCCAAAAAGUUCUUAAUAGUAUCACAUAUUUCUAACAACCCUUUUAUGAUUUUUUACAUUUAUAAUGCAUGUCUUUAGUUUAAUAUGAAUUAAAUAAAUAAUUAAAAAAAUCAUUCUCUAUGAACAUCGCAUAAUAAGGGUGUUUUUUAUUAUGCAGUGCUAUUGAAAUUGGUUCGUUGGAUCGUUAAAAUUGGUUUAAUGGAGGAGAUGGGAUUGAUAUAGGUGGAAGAGAUGGGUGGUGGAGUGGAUUCUUAUGGGUUUGCUGUUGGUUUUGACAGAGGUGUCGGUGAAAGGUGAUGGAGGCAACCGAGGUGGUGCGGCGGCGGCGAUAACAGAUGUAGGAAGGUGGCAACAACAGAUAUGAGUCUCAAACUCAAGAUCCACUCUGGAAAAAAAGAACACCCUCGACCACCGACCACCGGGCUGCAUGUCUGGUGAUUAUUUGCUGUGAGCGUAGGUUGUAAGAAAAUUAUUCUUUAAUGUCUUUUUUGCGAAUAUAGAAGGCAAUAGCGAAAUGAAAGUGCAACGACAUAUGGCUAAAUGAGUAGAAGAAGAGGCUACUGUUAGUCUCAGAUCGUCGAACUAAGAAGUUAUAAAGGCUGCUAGUUUGUAAAACACUUGUGAUUGAGAUGGGCUUUUGCCACCCAUCAACAGUAAAAUUGAAACUUUGUGGAUGUGUUUA